rnacentral:tRNA from 1 species
GCGGUGCUGGCCAGGGUGUCGCAGAUCGCCUGCUGUUGCUGGGUGACGCGCUCGCCGGUGCGUUCCCACUGCGUGCUCAGGUCCGCGCUCAUCGCGC